rnacentral:rRNA from 1 species
AGAGUUUGAUUCUGGCUCAGGACGAACGCUGGCGGCGUGCUUAACACAUGCAAGUCGAGCGGAAAGGCCCUUCGGGGUACUCGAGCGGCGAACGGGUGAGUAACACGUGAGUAACCUGCCCUAGGCUCUGGGAUAACUGUCGGAAACGAUGGCUAAUACCGGAUAUUCAGGCAUGAUCGCAUGAUUGUGUUUGGAAAGUUUUUCGGCUUGGGAUGGGCUCGCGGCCUAUCAGCUUGUUGGUGGGGUGAUGGCCUACCAAGGCUUCGACGGGUAGCCGGCCUGAGAGGGCGACCGGCCACACUGGGACUGAGACACGGCCCAGACUCCUACGAGAGGCAGCAGUGGGGAAUAUUGCACAAUGGGCGAAAGCCUGAUGCAGCGACGCCGCGUGAGGGAUGACGGCCUUCGGGUUGUAAACCUCUUUCAGCAGGGACGAAGCGGAAGUGACGGUACCUGCAGAAGAAGCGCCGGCCAACUACGCGCCAGCAGCCGCGGUAAGACGUAGGGCGCGAGCGUUGUCCGGAUUUAUUGGGCGUAAAGAGCUCGUAGGCGGCUCGUUGCGUCAACCGUGAAAACCCGGGGCUUAACUUCGGGCUUGCGGUUGAUACGGGCGGGCUGGAGUUCGGUAGGGGAGACUGGAAUUCCUGGUGUAGCGGUGAAAUGCGCAGAUAUCAGGAGGAACACCGGUGGCGAAGGCGGGUCUCUGGGCCGAUACUGACGCUGAGGAGCGAAAGCGUGGGGAGCGAACAGGAUUAGAUACCCUGGUAGUCCACGCUGUAAACGUUGGGCGCUAGGUGUGGGGGGCCUCUCCGGUUUCCUGUGCCGUAGCUAACGCAUUAAGCGCCCCGCCUGGGGAGUACGGCCGCAAGGCUAAACUCAAAUGAAUUGACGGG